UACGAAGGGGGCUAGCGUUGCUCGGAAUCACUGGGCGUAAAGGGCGUGCAGGCGGUCAGGUAAGUGGGAUGUGAAAUGCCCCGGCUCACCCGGGGACCGGCAUCUCAUACUGCUUGGCUUGAGUACGGGAGAGGAUGUGGGAAUUCCUGGUGUAGCGGUGAAAUGCGUAGAUAUCAGGAGGAACACCGGUGGCGAAGGCGCACAUCUGGCCCGAUACUGACGCUGAGGCGCGAAAGCUAGGGGAGCAAACGGG
rnacentral:rRNA from 1 species